CCUGCCAGUAGUCAUAUGCUUGUCUCAAAGAUUAAGCCAUGCAUGUCUCAGUACAAGCCAAAUUAAGGUGAAACCGCGAAAGGCUCAUUAAAUCAGUUAUGGUUCCUUAGAUCGUACCCACAUUUACUUGGAUAACUGUGGUAAUUCUAGAGCUAAUACAUGCAAACAGAGCUCCGACCGGAGACGGAAGGAGUGCUUUUAUUAGAUCAAAACCAAUCGGCGGCGUGUUCGCUUGCGUUCACGUUCGCCGCCCAACUUGGUGACUCUGAAUAACUUUCUGCUGAUCGCACGGUCUUGCACCGGCGACGCAUCUUUCAAAUGUCUGCCUUAUCAACUGUCGAUGGUAGGUUCUGCGCCUACCAUGGUUGUAACGGGUAACGGGGAAUCAGGGUUCGAUUCCGGAGAGGGAGCCUGAGAAACGGCUACCACAUCCAAGGAAGGCAGCAGGCGCGCAAAUUACCCACUCCCGGCACGGGGAGGUAGUGACGAAAAAUAACGAUACGGGACUCAUCCGAGGCCCCGUAAUCGGAAUGAGUACACUUUAAAUCCUUUAACGAGGAUCAAUUGGAGGGCAAGUCUGGUGCCAGCAGCCGCGGUAAUUCCAGCUCCAAUAGCGUAU
rnacentral:rRNA from 1 species